ensembl:lncRNA
CUCAGAUCAGAAUUGAAAUUUGCAAAACAAGAUCCCCCGACCGAAGCAUCACCAUCAAACAAGCGGGUGACAACAGACGACCACGACGUCAUGUAAACAGACCAGUAGAAAACAGCUGAAGGACUGAUGGACAGAGUGGAGGGGAGUCCUCCCUCUCUCGGAGAUCCGGACCACUGUUAACCAAUAGAAAGGACGUGCUGAGGACCGACCGAUCACAGCCUGAAGGUUAGGUUACCGGGAGGCCAGAAGGAUUGUGAUGUGUCGCAAGGCCAGAAGAUGUCACGCUGGGCAAUUUUCCUGUGAUUGAUAACUUAAAUUACAGAGAAAAGAGCCCCAUUAUAAAAAUAGCGCCAUUUUGUUGGAAUUCCGUUUCUAUCUAAACAUUGUCGGCGGCUGUUUACAUUGUAG